GAUGAACGCUGACAGAAUGCUUAACACAUGCAAGUCAACUUGAACUUCGGUUUGGGUGGCGGGCGGGUGAGUAGCGCGUAAAGAACUUGCCUCACAGAUAGGGACAACAUUUGGAAACGAAUGCUAAUACCUGAUAUUAUGAUUAUAUGGCAUCGUAUAAUUAUGAAAGCUAUAUGCGCUGUGAGAGAGCUUUGCGUCCCAUUAGCUAGUUGGAGAGGUAACGGCUCACCAAGGCGAUGAUGGGUAGCCGGCCUGAGAGGGUGAUCGGCCACAAGGGGACUGAGACACGGCCCUUACUCCUACGGGAGGCAGCAGUGGGGAAUAUUGGACAAUGGACCAAGAGUCUGAUCCAGCAAUUCUGUGUGCACGAUGAAGUUUUUCGGAAUGUAAAGUGCUUUCAGUUGGGAAGAAAAAAAUGACGGUACCAACAGAAGAAGUGACGGCUAAUACGUG
rnacentral:rRNA from 1 species